AUGUACGCGGCCCUCAGUGGGGCGCAAUGGGUAGUCGGCAAGGCGCUAGCCCCCGUUGCGGACGGGGUGCUGGAGGCUUGGGCGGCCACCAGGAACUUUGGUUUCAACAUAGAGGCCCUCAGCAUGGAACUGAUGCUGGUGAAGGCCACGCUCGAACAAGCUGGACGCAAGGAGCUCGGCGGGCCGGCCAUGGAGAUGUUGUUGCACAAGCUGCGUGACUCGGCGCAAAAUGCUGAAGACUUGUUAGAUGAGCUCGACUACUUCCGCAUCCACGAUGAGCUCCACGGCACCCACGAUGCUGCAGGCGAGCACGACAAGGGUUGCUUCCACAACCUUGCCUUCAAUGCUCGCCACACCGCCAAAGCUUUUGGCAAACUGGUCAACUGUGCUAAGCCUCGGCAGAGGUCACACAGCGACUCCUCGGCCCCAGACACCAAUCAGGAGCUUAGCGGAUGCAUGCCCAAGAUCGGUAAACUCCUCACUUGCUCGUCUUCCCCGCAUCCACAUGUUCGUGAUGAUGAUCGUGGCAGUGUGCAAGAAACACCAAAGCUUGAGUUUAAUAGGGUUUAUUUCUCUCAAAGGAUGAAGGACAUUGUAGAGAAAUUGCAACUUAUGCGCAAUGAGGUUAGCAAGAUUCUGAUACAUUGUGGCCCUAGAACUGUCCCAGACAUUGCCCUGAGCCGUCCUAUCACCAAAAGUAGAAUUGAUGAGCCAAAACUGUAUGGGAGGGACCAUGUCAUGAAUAGCAUCAUACAUGAUAUCACCGAGGGUCAAUACUAUGACAAGGGUCUAACUGUGCUGCCGGUUGUGGGUCCAGGGGGUAUGGGCAAGACAACUCUUAUAAAACACAUAUAUCGCAACCAGCAAGUGCAGAAUCAUUUUUCAGUCAUGAUUUGGAUAUGUGUAUCGCUCAAUUUCAAUCUAGAUAAGGUGCUAGAACAGAUUAAAACAUGUACACCUCAAGUUGGAAUGGAAAAGGAGGGUAGUACAACAGAAGAUUUGAUUGAACAAAGAUUAAAAUAUAAAAGGUUCUUACUUGUAUUGGAUGAUAUAUGGCGGAUUAGUAAUGGUGAUGACUGGAAAAAAUUAUUGUCGACACUCAAUCAAUCAGAAGAAAGGGGGUGCAUGAUUCUAGUCACAACUCGGUUUCAAGCAAUAGCACAAAAGGUUAAAACAACUGGCCAAUCAAUAGAACUGAAUGGUUUAGAAUAUGAAGAGUUUAGGAAGUUAUUUCUUGCAUUUGUCUUUGGCGAUGAAGAAUGUGCAAGGGAUAAACAUUUCUUACUUGAGACAGGAGAUAAGAUAAUGGAAAAGCUAAAGGGCUCCCCUCUUGCAGCAAAAACUGUUGGUAGAUUACUGAGUAAAGAACUUAGUUUGCGUCAUUGGAAAAGGGUCCUAAAAAGUAAGGAAUGGGAGAAGCAAACUGAUGACAAUGAAAUUAUGCCUGCCUUGAAGCUUAGCUAUGACUUUCUCCCUUUUUAUUUGAAACAAUGCUUUUCCUAUUCUGCAUUGUUUCCUGAAGAUUAUCGUUUCAGAAGCCACGAGCUCAUCAACCUGUGGAUCGGACUAGAUAUUUUGAUACCCGGUGGCCAAAACCAAGUUGUUCAAGAUAUAGGUUUGAGUAAUUUAAAUGAGCUAGUUAUCCAUGGAUUUUUCAGAGAAGAGGAAACCAGUGAUGGUCUGCACUAUGUUAUGCAUGACCUAUUGCAUGAUUUGGCAUUGAAGGUUGCAUCGCAUGAUUGUCUUAGUUUACAUUUCUCUGAUGUUGGGUCAGUAGAUAUUCAGCCAUCCACCCACCACUUGUCCAUACGCACAGAGAACUUGGUGUCUUCUCAAAACAUUAAGAGUGAAUUGGAAAAAUUGAAGACAUCAUUGAAGGUUGAACAUUUGCAAACAUUGAUGUUAUUUGGAGAAAUGGAUAAAGGUUUUGCCAAGAUAUUUGGUGAUAUUUGGGGGGAAGCAAAUGCUCUUCGUGUUCUUUAUUUGCCUGACAUGACAUAUCACGUGGAAUCCAUGUUACAUAACUUUUCAGGACUUGUCCACCUACGAUUCCUAUGUCUAGGGACAAAUGAGUGGCAGAUGCAUUUACCACUUAGCAUCCUUAAAUUUUAUCACUUAAGGGUUCUAGAUCUUAAGUCAUGGCAUGGCAGUUGUGAUUUUCCUGAAGACAUGAGCAACCUUGCAAAAUUGUGCCAUUAUUAUACCCCAAGAGAUGCGGAUCUUCAUUCUGAUAUUUAUAAUGUGGGAAAACUUAAACUCUUGGAAGAGUUGAAGGUAUUUCAGGUCAAUAAAAAGAGUGAAGUAUUUGAACUAAAGCAACUAGAGCAUUUGACCAAGCUAAGGGAGCUUGGCAUCUACAACCUGGAGAAAGUGCAUACAAAAGACGAAGCAGCUCAAGCAAAACUGAUAGAGAAAAACUACUUGAGGAAGUUAACAUUGGACUGGGAUAGUGAUCGAUCUACUGUUGAGCCUGGUGUGGAAGCAAUGGUUCUUGAGAACCUUCGACCGCAUGGAGAUCUUCAAAUGUUGUGCAUUAGAGGGCAUGGAGACCCUUCUUGCCCAACAUGGCUAGGUGAUGAGCUCGUUGUUGAUGCUCUACAAUCUCUUAGUCUUUAUUGUGUUUCUUGGGGAGUUUUCCCUUCUUUAGGGAAGGCAUGGGAUCUUCGUCAACUAAGAUUGGAGCAUAUUUACAAGCCGAAGGAGUUUACUAUAGAGAAAAACUUUUGCAUGCUAAUAAAGCUUGAACUAAUUGGCCUAGGAAGUUUUGAAAAAUGGGUUUACCCGGCUGAACAAGAGUCUUCCGUUAGUGGAGACUUGUUGCCACCGGAUGCUCAUAUGUUCCCUCUUUUGCAAGUUCUGAUUAUUCGGGAGUGCCCGAAACUAUUGGGGUUGCCUUUCUUAGAACACAUUGUUUCCCCAGAUUGGUUCCCCAAGCUACAAGAGCUUGAGGUAUGUGACUGUCCCGAAUUCUUGCCAGUGAUUCCCAUCUCCUGGAUGGAAAGUCUUUGUUUUGUCAAGAUGAAAUGUAUAAAGAUGCUAAAGGAGUUUGGGUACUCAAAAUCAUCCAAUGGAGCAGAAUUGGAAAUUAUCGGAGAGGGUGAUCUGCAUAGCAUCGACCAAGUGUUAGUUUUUGAUAAAGAAACUAGUCUUGGGAAGCUGAAACUCGAGAGGUGCCCACCUCUGGAGUUGAAGCACCUCUUGAUGCUAACCUCGCUAAAGACAUUCAUUGUAAGAAAAUCAGAUGGUUUGGUUGGACCCAGAGGUCAGGGUGAUGUGGAAUGGAAGCUCCCUGUUGAGUAUAUAAAGAUCAACGACUUACAUGGUAAUACUGGCGAGGAACUGACAGAACUCCUCCCCCACCUCCCAAAGCUCUCCAAAUUGGAAAUAUUUGAGUGUGAAAACAUAAAAAAGCUGGUAGUGGGGGUGGAUGUGCAACCAACAACACAAGAAACAUCAGAGAUGGGGGGAGGUGAAAUAACAGCAGCAGCAGCAGCAGCAGAGGAAGAGGAUGACGGGGUGCUGCUCUUCCCAGCUCAUCUCUGUGACUCACUAAGGGAAUUGGUGUUCUAUGACUGCCCAGAGCUGGUCCUGGUGGACCCGCCAACUCUUGUUCCUGGAGAAGGAGGGUUCCAAGCUUUGCGAUCCCUCCAGAGAUUAACAAUAUUGCGGGCCCCAAAGUUGCUAUCCACCUUCUCCUUUUCCCGACACCUUUUUCCUUCCUCCCUGCAGUUCCUGAGCCUUGUAGGUGUGGAAGGCAUGGAGACACUCGAGCCCCUCUCAAACCUCUCCUCUCUCACCAGAUUAGAAUUAAUUCGUUGUGGAAAGGAUCUGAAAUGUCAGGGCUUGUGGUCUCUCCUUACCACCGGGGGCCAGCUCAACAAAUUAAGAGUCACUGGUAGCCAUAGAUUCUUUGCUGAUUGGGAUCCCAAUCCCAGACGGGCUUUGGAGGAUGCUGAGGGAGGUGAAGAGUGGCAGACACAGCUUGUUUCAUCCACACUGCGUGAGCUCUGGACAGAUGACAUAGCAGGACUUCUUGCUGCACCCGUCUGCACAUUCCUCUCUUCCUCCCUCACCAAGCUGCAACUUUGGGGGGAUUUGUGUGAAGGGAUGGAGCUGUUCAGCAAGGAGCAAGAGGACGCCCUUCAACUCCUCUCCUCCCUCCAGAAACUAGAGUUUUGGAGUUUCAAGGACCUUCAACAACUCCCUGCAGGGCUGCGUAAACUUACCAGCCUCAAGAUAUUAUUAGUCAACUGCUGUCCAGCCAUCUCGUCGUUGCCCAACGAUGCCCUCCCGGAUUCACUGGAAAUGCUAGAUGUCUACAACUGCAGCGAAGAGCUAAAACAGCAGUGCAGGGGGUUGGAGGGAACCAUCCCAGAUAUCAUAAUAAUAUGAUCCAAGGACAAUGCCUUGGAGUUCCAUGUACAUUCUUCUAGCCUUGUAGAGCUCUUCCCUUCCCAUUCAAACACAUGCAUGACACAAGGGCUGUGGUCUUCCUUUUCCUGUACUUAAAUCUGGUGUUUGUUCGAUCUUAUAGGCUUCUUCAUAUCUUGCAUUUAAAUUUGGGUUAUUGUUAUUCAUCAAGACGUGGCAGUCUGCUCCCCUAUUUUGGGUGUCACGAUCAAAUCAGCAGUAGGACAUCAGUAUGGAACAAUUGAGACUUCGGGUCAAGCUACUGAUAUUAAAGUGUUCUUAUGUUUGUUUGGUGGGCUUUCAAGCCACUUAUGUUUACAUUUUGUCCAAAACUCAUGAAGACUGAAGGUAUGCCUGGAAAAUCUUCAGUUUUAGGGACCAAGGAUCAUUUGGCAUAGUUAUGGAAAACAAUGACUUGUCAGUGUUUUGCUGCUGAUCAUGUUUGCAGUUUUGCCAUCCAGUGGCGUAUAGGAUCAUAGGCAAUACCGCAGUAGUAGCAGUCUCAAGGCAAAUAGUGAAUCAGGAUGUCGAUUAAUGCCGGGAAUUUACUUGGUGCCCUGCCCCCAACUAUUUACAUGUGAAACCUGCCUAUCUAGUGAUGAUCAAUCUCCUCGGAAGCAACAGAUUGAGUUGAGGGAAAGGUGUGGUUGACUGAGGCAGUCUUCUUCCACUGCAAUAGCCACACACGAAUGGUGCUGGUCGGUGGAUGCAGUUUUAGCUACUUUCAACUGUUCCUCGUGACAUCCUUGAUACCUUGCCCCUCAUUCUAUUCUUCCUCGGACGUGUACCAACCAAAUCCCUCUAAGCGCACACUGGUCACCCAAGAAUUGCUGCAGCCGUUGCCAAUAGCAUCCCCUAAGGCACAUUGUGAAGUUGUUGUUGCAGAAAGAUUUUUCGAGGGUCAGACAAACAAGCCAUAAGUGAAUGGCUUAUUAUUAUUUCCAGAAGAUGCAGCUUAUUAUGGAAAACUUGCACUGCAAAGAGUCAGCCGCCAAGGAGGGUGAAAUUGCUAAGGCACAAGGAAUAUUCCGUGGAAUAUAUGAAGCCAUGCUAAGGAAGAAGCAGCAAAAUCGCAGCCCAUGCUAAGUGGAAUAUAUGAAGCCAUGCUAAGUGGCUCUCCACGAUGCUGACAUUGGCAUAUAGCACUUCUUGGCUCGCUGUUGAGAGGAAUGUCAUGAAGAAUCUCAGGUUGCAGUCACGAGGCCAUACCAAGAUACAGUUUCCUUAGUCGGCGCCAGGGAAGGUGGUGAAUUAAGUUGCAACAAGUCUGCGGAGUAAGAGUUAUGCAGAUAGAGAUGCAAUAUGCUUGCUGGAUCCAUGCUAAGGAAGCGGAUACAUUGGCUAGGCUAAGCAGGAGCAUAGUCUGCAGCUAUUUGGCAAAUGGUGCUCUGCUCAUCUCCCCUGCUUCUCAAGCAUACAAACCCGAUGGAUAUGCUUGCUUGCUUGCUUAUUCGGAGUAGUAUCUGCUGGAAGCUUGUCUGUCGCUGCCUUUGUUGAUUGUUGCUGCAGUUCUAUGGAUUUGAACAUCUGCCAAAGCUCGUGCUCAUGUUUUCUUUGAUUUCCCCGGCCGUUUUUUUCCUUAUUAUGAACUGUUGUUCUGCAUCACAAAACAGAGCUUAAAUAAUUUCGACGAUGCAAUGGCUGGCUAGAGAUUUAUUUAUUUAGUUAUUUGCAUUCGGAGAAAUUUGAUCUUUUAUGAGAUGCAGGAAAUUUAUAGCUGUUCAGAGCUCUUUCUUUCUUUCUUUCUUUGCAUUCAAACACCACAUCUCAAUGUGACACAUGCCCCGCACAAGGAAAAAACACACGCAAACUAUUCUGACCGUGACUGGCAUGCAGAUGCAGAACAAGGCCAAUUACUUGCACAUCUCCUUGUCAGGAGAACAACCAGGCUGGCUGCAUCAUCUUGUCAAGAAAUUGACACUUGUUAUGUUGUUAACUGAAGAAAUCGACACCCAGCGUUUAUCGUGACAUGACACCACCCUUGACCGUGCAUCCAACAACUCUGAAUUCACCAAAGUAAGGCAGUGAAGUUCCCCAGAAUGUCAUCAUCACCAGAUAGGAGAGCAGAGGAGAGGAGCACCAUUUAAUUACUGCACUUGGAGCCAUCUAUCAGCUCAGGAUGCUCUUCAAAUGAUGAGCUGAUUCUUGGCCAUCGACUGUAGGAUCUUGUGUCCGAUACUACUACUUGGUAGCACAAUCUCUGGAGGGAAGAUGACCAAGGUGGUAGUGGUGUAUGGACUGGGCGCAGAGCAGAACCAUCCAAUUCCAAUCCAAUUUCGCCAUCAGGCCUUCAUCAUGCAGUCGGCGAACCUGUGAAAUUUUCUCUUUUGAAGUGCACAUUCAUUCAUAAAAGAGGCAAGGAGAAG
rnacentral:rRNA from 1 species